GACGUAGGGCGCGAGCGUUGUCCGGAUUUAUUGGGCGUAAAGAGCUCGUAGGCGGCUUGUCGCGUCGAAUGUGAAAACCCGAGGCUCAACUUCGGGCUUGCAUUCGAUACGGGCAGGCUAGAGUUCGGUAGGGGAGACUGGAAUUCCUGGUGUAGCGGUGAAAUGCGCAGAUAUCAGGAGGAACACCGAUGGCGAAGGCAGGUCUCUGGGCAUUAACUGACGCUGAGGAGCGAAAGCAUGGGGAGCGAACAGG
rnacentral:rRNA from 1 species